GACGAACGCUGGCGGCGUGCUUAACACAUGCAAGUCGAACGGAAAGGCCCUGCUUUUGUGGGGUGCUCGAGUGGCGAACGGGUGAGUAACACGUGAGUAACCUGCCCUUGACUUUGGGAUAACUUCAGGAAACUGGGGCUAAUACCGGAUAGUAGCUCCUGCUGCAUGGUGGGGGUUGGAAAGUUUCGGCGGUUGGGGAUGGACUCGCGGCUUAUCAGCUUGUUGGUGGGGUAGUGGCUUACCAAGGCUUUGACGGGUAGCCGGCCUGAGAGGGUGACCGGCCACAUUGGGACUGAGAAACGGCCAAGACUCAUACGGGAGGCAGCAGUGGGGAAUAUUGCACAAUGGGCGGAAGCAUGAUGCAGCAACGCCGCGUGCGGGAUGACGGCCUUCGGGUUGUAAACCGCUUUCGCCUGUGACGAAGCGUGAGUGACGGUAAUGGGUAAAGAAGCACCGGCUAACUACGUG
rnacentral:rRNA from 1 species